rnacentral:rRNA from 1 species
ACAGGGAUUGCCCUAGUAACGGCGAGUGAAGCGGCAACAGCUCAAAUUUGAAAUCUGGCCCCAGGCCCGAGUUGUAAUUUGCAGAGGAUGCUUCGGGCGCGGUGCCUUCCAAGUCCCCUGGAACGGGGCGCCAUGGAGGGUGAGAGCCCCGUAUGGUCGGACACCAAGCCUAUGUGAAGCUCCUUCGACGAGUCGAGUAGUUUGGGAAUGCUGCUCUAAAUGGGAGGUAGACCCCUUCUAAAGCUAAAUACCGGCUAGAGACCGAUAGCGCACAAGUAGAGUGAUCGAAAGAUGAAAAGAACUUUGAAAAGAGGGUUAAACAGCACGUGAAAUUGUUAAAAGGGAAGCGCUUGUGACCAGACUUGCGCCGGGGCGAUCAUCUGGCGUUCUCGCCGGUGCACUCGCCCCGGCCCAGGCCAGCGUCGGUUCGGGAGGGGGGACAAGGACGUUGGGGACGUGGCUCCCCCGGGAGUGUUACAGCCCAGCGUGUCAUGCCCCCGCCCGGACCGAGGUUCGCGCUCUGCAAGGACGCUGGCGUAAUGGUCAUCAGCGGCCCGUCUUGAAACACGGACCAAGGAGUCGAGGUUCUGCGCGAGUGUUUGGGUGCCAAACCCGCACGCGUAAUGAAAGUGAACGUAGGUGGGAGCCUCGGCGCACCACCGACCGAUCCUGAUGUUUUCGGAUGGAUUUGAGUACGAGCGUUGGGCCUCGGACCCGAAAGAUGGUGAACUAUGCUUGGAUAGGGUGAAGCCAGAGGAAACUCUGGUGGAGGCUCGCAGCGGUUCUGACGUGCAAAUCGAUCGUCAAAUCUGAGCAUGGGGGCGAAAGACUAAUCGAACCA